UCUUCAGGAGGAAGUAUUGAAUAAGAACUCGUCAACCUCCAGUUCUUGCCAUCAGAUUAUUAUGUAUACAACCUAGGAUCUAGUUUUUUGUGAUUUCUUUUUUUGUUUACCCUGUCUUUGGCUGCUGCUGCUGAGUAAAGACGAGGCAAGUAAAAGAAACAUGUUUUUAAUCGUUGCAGGUAUAUUUUUUUCCUGGAUUAUGAAGAAUUUGUAUCAACUCAGACCAUUGAACUAGUACUAGGUUCGAGUGUAUGGGGUACAAAAAAAAGUUCAUGGGGUACAAUUAACUAUUUUAUGAAACCGUUAUGCAACUUGGAUGAGUUUAUGACGUGCCGUUCCACUUGUGGUUUUCAAUGUGGUUGUGUUUAGAUAACGCACAUUGUGCUUGUUUGGAAAUGUUGAGUGGUCAGAACUUUGAACUACUGCCGCACUUUUGCACUUUUUAACACGUAGCCAACCAUGAGCAACAUUUUCGUGAAAUGUUCUAUUUUUGAGGUACCCAAUUCAACCUGGAUGGUGCAAACCUUAUGAGAUUCUUAUGUGCAUGAACUUGUCUCUGUGUGAUCCUAUCGACAGAAUGGAGUUUUAUUAUGCCUCUUAUGUUCUUCUCUGAAUAGUCAAUUUGAGCUUCUUGCAUUAGGUUCACAUGAAAAUCGUUGUGAAGGGAAAGACAAACCCUCGGUACCUUCUUCCAGGAAUUGUCAGAGCACCUUGGGAUUUGCCGGUUGAAUGAACGUCUUUCUGAUCCCAAAGUGCAGGACAAUUUUGAGACGAUAUUCCCGAAAGAUAGUCCGAGGAAUUCCAGUUUUUUCAUCAACUUCUUCACUGCUGUGGGCCUUGAUGGCAUUACGGAGAACCUGCGUGAAUAUAGAAGAGCGUUGCAUGUCUUGUCAUUGUAGCAGUUUGGAGAUUAUAGUGCCAAUCUGAUAGGGUGAAGAUCUGCAACUGUAGCCUUUCGUCCUUGACUGUGGAAGUGAUAUCAUCAAAGCUUUUAAAAGACUUUCAAUUUGAUGGCAACAAGGACAUUUCUGGGUUAUGAUUAUUACUCUUUGAUGAUGGGUAUUUUGAGCAGAUCACGCUGUGCACAUCUCUCUAUGCCAUUCAUAAACUGCUAGAGAUUCGCUCCACGGCAAUGGGGUUCUCGCUCGAGAUGGCGAAGCUGCAACAGAAGCGGCGAGAAGAACUACUCCAUUCUACGGCGAUAACAAGCCAUCUCCUAGUAGUGUGAAACAAUGGCUGUCGUAUAUGGUGAAGGGCUUGACAGUCGCAAAGGAAGGUAUCAACGUUAAUGGAGAGGACUUAUGUUUUCCAGAAGAAGAUCCAUCUUGUCUGAAGCCUUUCCAGCUGUGUAAGGAAUAGAGGCAUAAUUUCGCAUAGGUAGUUCUCUAUUUGCUGCUUUUUCCAUGUUUGUACUCCUAACUUGGUGAUUUAAGCGUUCUAUGUUUUAUCAAGUUUGAAACUUUGAGUGUUGCAAAAACACAUGAUCCUUUACGUUUUCUCAAGUGGGAGUUAAUAUUUAUAUUAUAUGGCUGAUUGUCAUUUAAAUUGAAGUUUAUCUUGUUCUUUGAGAUACCCAUUAGUUCAGUUCCUUUUUAUUAUUUUCUUGUUUGAUUAAGAUUGCCCUAAACGGAAUCCCUCUCUCAUGGGGAGUCCAAAUCUCUAUAGCAGGAUUUGCCAUUAACCAAAUCAAAGUGAAAGCCUUAGGGUCAUCAGCCACUUUAAUUGAAGCCUUCAGGUACGUAAUGCUUUGUGCAAGUUUCGUUCAAUACUAGGAGUAUUAACUUUACAAAGUUUGCUUAAUUCUGACAAUAGUUAUUAUGGUCGAGAGUUCUAUUUAUUGUUGAGUUCAUUGAUAGCUUUAUGUGUUUUAUCUUGUGUUCUACUUUGUGAGAUCAUCUCCAUGUAUCUUAUGUGACUGGUUUUGUGAAUGUGGGACUCAGAGAAUGGUGAAUUAUCCAUUCAACAACCGAGGAGCGAUGCGGAAGAGAAAGAGCACUCCAUGUGUUCAAUUGAUGGCCUCAAUGAACUGUGAUUGUAGAGAAUUUAGGCAUACUUAUGGCUCUCCAGUCGAAGAGGUGGUUCAUCCAAUUUAUGAUCAAUGCUUCUACCUGACUUUGGAGCCUAAAUGGAAACUCAAGGAGGAAUUUGGGAUAGAUCUAUGGACUUUUGAGCAACAUCUUGAGGAGGCGGCGUGUAUUCCUGCUGGUUGUCCGCAUCAAAUCAGAAGUCUUAAAGAAAUACAUUUCUUCACCUUUUUUUGAAAUUUCAAUUUGACCAUGGAAUGCACAUAUCUGUUUAUGUAUAUCUAUUUUCUGCUUGCACAGUCAUGUACAAAAGUUGCUCUGGAUUUUGUUUCUCCUGAAAAUCUCCAUAAGUGCAUUCGAUUCACUAGGAGUCCGACGACUGCCGAAGAGCUGGAUAUGUUAGGAGAUUCUUCACUGGUCAUAGGGGAAAGACUCUCCUGUAGCAAGGGUGAUUGGUCAGUGCUCCUUUCUCAAACCAGAAUGGGCUUAUGCACUCCACGACUUAAUGUUUCAUGGGGGUAGUGAAAAAAAAAGGCGAUCGCUGGCAAGGAGAAGUGUUCAGCUGUGGCAACGUCUGUGUAUGCUUACGAUUACGCGGAGCUUCCAUCUCACUUGAAGUGGUGAAGAAGAUGAUCCUUCAUGCCAUGACCAAUCUGUUCAAGACUUGGAAGCCUUGAGACGGGAAAAAGGUGAUGGGGUGUGGGCAAAAACCAUUUAUCUGUCCUCCGAUUUAUUCCAUGUUGCUCUUUUUCCUUUCACCAGUAAAUGUUGUGGAAGCUUUGACCCCUGGAUUUCAUAAAUAUUGUGCAAUCCCAGAGGUGAUUGUAUAAGAAAACCGCACUGCAACCACAAUAAGUCAGGAUUAAGCUCUUGCAGCAACUUUUCCUAGAGAUGGAGUGGGCAAUAUCAGCUGAGCAUUUGGUCUUGCGAUUUAAUUUUGCCCCAAAGAGCAUGGGAGGGAUUUGUGUGUGGGUGGGUGGAUGUGGGAGUGUUGGGGUGGGGAUUGAAGUCAUCCAGAAUCAAUUAUAGGUGUAUGUGAUCUAUGAAUCUGACAGAAUAUGAACAAUGCCAUGUGAACUUUUGGAAAAGCUUUGGUAGGAAGAUAGGUAAGGGAAUGGCAACUAAUACAUGCACUCUAUGUUUUGAAAGAGAACUGUUUAGCAGACAGUUUUAGCUAUGCCUACCAUAUUGAAAGCGCAAACCUAUUUGUAAUUCAGAAACCUCAAGUAAUCUGUAUUGUUCCUAACCUAGAUUCAUCAUCUAACUUGACUUGUCCUGACACAUCAAUCUUCUUAUUUUGGAGUAGUCAUUUUAGCAUUCAUCAUCUGUUAUUUUUACUGAAUUGCAUUAGACAUGUAUGAUAACUUAUCUAAGUUUUU